AACGAACGCUGGCGGCGUGCCUAACACAUGCAAGUCGAGCGAGAAAAGGGGGAGCAAUCCCCUGAGUACAGCGGCGCACGGGUGAGUAACACGUAGGUGACCUCCCCUCGAGCCCGGAACUAAACCUACCGAAAGGUAGGGCGUAAUACCGGAUAUGACCACGGAAGUUUCGGUCUUCUGCGGUGAAAGAUGGCCUCUACCUGUAAG
rnacentral:rRNA from 1 species